GUUAGUGAGGAAAGGAAGAUUCCCCUGGGGGCCUCUUCUGUGACCCAUUCCCACCACAGGCCUUUCCUAGAAAUUUGGUAACAAGGGGUGUGGUCAUGGUUGCUAUGGCAACAUGGAAUUAUUACAGUGAUGAUGGGCCCUUGGAGGUGGGGAGAGAGGGGAUUUGUGUUAGUGAAGGAGAAGUUACAUGGUCUGAGCAGGAGGGGCUGCAAGAGAGGCUGGGGCAGCUACAGAGACCCCAGAGACAGACACACAUGGCUGUGGAGUUAAGGGAUGGACAAAAAGACAAGGAGCCUUGAGCCCCAAGAAAGGGAGAGACCACAGGGACAGAUCCAGAGACCCAAGGCAGAAAGAAGGGCAGACAUGUGACAGCACAGAAGUGGGCUGAGACACCCAAUAUGGGAGGGGGAACAAGCCACCUGGCAGAUGCUGGGGACAGGGGAGCAUGGCAGGACUUUCCAAGAGUCAGUGUGGGACCUGGGUCUUAAAAAAGAACCUUGGGUUUCACACUCGGGCCUAUUUUGGGGCUUGUUCCCACACAUUCCCUGUCAGCAGCGGCGGCAGCUCCUGUGGGGUCCAGCCUGGCUCUCCCUGCUGCAGCUGCUACUAGAGCUACAGGGGAGGUUGCUGAGGUAGGGGGAAGAGGCACGCCGUUGCUAAGCAACCAGAGGCUGUGUACCUGGAGGGCAUAGGAGGGGGCCCUGGCACUGAUUACACCAAGGGGAGGCAGGGAGACAGUAAAGGAGCAGGGUGGACAAAGCUCGAGGUUCCCUCUCCCAUCUUCCUCACGACAGUUACAGAGGAGGGAUGGACUCCUCACCCAGUCAGCAUGUUAAUGAUUGUGUUGACUGGAGUUUGACAGAGGGAACCAUCGAUAGGAAAGACUGUAUUCUUUCUCCUCUGCGCCUUGUCACCCAUCCAACCGCAUCUCUAACGGGUCUGAGGACUUGUCAGGAAGCAGCGCAGGCCUUCACUCAUUGUUGACACAGGGCCAUCACCACGCUUCUUCACUUCCCUUAUUGGUGAAGCUCCUAUCCAGAAGGAGCACUUCCGUUCAACAAGUAUUUACUGAGCAGCUAUGAAACUUGCUGGGGGAGUGAUGAGGGAUGGGCCCUGUGGUGCAGAAGGAGUUCCUUCAAGGGCCUCUCCCUCCAGGGAGGUUACUAAUGAGAGGCACUGUGGGGGCCCGGUGGCUGCUUUCACUUGUUUCACAGAGUGGGCUUCCAAGUAAGCUUUCCUCUGAAGAGCUGGGCCACAGCUUAAGUUGUUUGAAACUCCUCUGUGGUCUGUUAUGGAAUAUCCAUGCCAUAGAAUGCCCCACCGCCUUGCAAAGCGGGAAGUGGAUCUGGGCCCACUGAUGCACCAUAGUCUCAGAGACAAAUUGUUCAAUGAAGAAAGGAAGUCUCAGAGCAAUCUAUACAACAGCAGGCCAUUUAUGCAAAUAAGCAGCCUUAGGAGUCACCUAACAUCACUUCUGUCAUACGUGGGCGAGGCAGUCACAGAGGCUGCCCAGGUUGUGGGGUAGUGGACGGAGCCUCCAUCUCAGGCAGCAUGGCAAGGUUUUAGAAGAGCAUGUGGAAUGGGAAAUGUUGUUGUGGCCAUUUUUGGAAAAUACACUCUGCUGUACUACGUUCGUAUACAUGAAUGCAAGCGUACAGAGACAAGGCCUGGAUCUGUACCAGACCGUCAGCAAGGCUUGCCUCUGGGGCAAAUGAGGUACAGAUAUGUUUCACCUUUCCUUCAUAUGUAUUACUUGAAUUUUUUUUUUUUUUUGAGGAAGAUUAGCCCUGAACUAACUACUG
rnacentral:lncRNA from 1 species